UACAGAGAGUGCAAGCGUUAAUCAGAAUUACUGGGCGUAAAGCGCACGUAGGUGGAUAUUUAAGUCAGAUGUGAAAGCCCUGGGCUUAACCUGGGAACUGCAUCUGAUACUGGGUAUCUUGAGUAUGGUAGAGGGAAGUGGAAUUUCCGGUGUAGCGGUGAAAUGCGCAGAUAUCAGGAAGAACACCCGUGGCGAAGGCGGCUCUCUGGGACGGUACUGACGCUGAGACGCGAAAGCGUGGGGAGCGAACAGG
rnacentral:rRNA from 1 species